rnacentral:rRNA from 1 species
CAAUACGAGAGCGGCAGACGGGUGAGUAGCACGUGGGAACGUGCCCUUCGGUUCGGAAUAACCCAGGGAAACUUGGGCUAAUACCGGAUACGCCCUUACGGGGAAAGAUUUAUCGCCGAGGGAUCGGCCCGCGUCCGAUUAGCUAGUUGGUGAGGUAAUGGCUCACCAAGGCUACGAUCGGUAGCUGGUCUGAGAGGAUGAUCAGCCACACUGGGACUGAGACACGGCCCAG